GACGAACCGUGCGAACGUUGUUCGGAAUCACUGGGCUUAAAGGGCGCGUAGGCGGCUGAUCAAGUCCGGGGUGAAAUCUUUCGGCUUAACCGGAAAAGUGCCUUGGAUACCGGUCAGCUUGAGGGAGGUAGGGGCAUGUGGAACUUCCGGUGGAGCGGUGAAAUGCGUUGAUAUCGGAAGGAACGCCGGUGGCGAAAGCGACGUGCUGGCCCUCUUCUGACGCUGAGGCGCGAAAGCUAGGGGAGCGAACGGG
rnacentral:rRNA from 1 species